UUCCAAAUCCAAGUACUGAUACAAAUUUCAUUACAGAAGUCUUGCAAAGUACAAGUACUAAGCAUAGAAACAGGAUAUAUAAGCUGCACUAGCAGCUAACAACAACAACAGAACCAAACAGUAUCAUAGAACCAAGUUGAUGUGUUUCAAGAACCAAAUAUCUCAUGCAAUGCAGAAGAACUAAAAUUGUUCAAAUAUUAAAAAACAUAUUACACCUCUUCCUCCCGUUAUCUUCUUCGUCUUCAUCCUCGUCUUCCUCCUCGUCUUCUAAAAAAUAGGCAGAAAUGUUAGAUAGCUACAAUAGAUAGAACUGCCAAAAAUAUGGAAUUGAUGCAAAAACUAGCAAUUUAACUUCAAAACUCUGCUCCUGCCCUUAUAAUAAUCACACGAGCCUCACAUAUAAAUAGAGAAAAGUUCAAUGGAAUAAAACUAAUCAUUCAAGAGUAGAUAAAAGAUCAUCGGCACAUAUAAAAUCAUCAUAACGCCCCUGUUGAGAAGUAAUAAUAAACUAAUCACCACAAACUCAUGCACACAGUCAACUCAAGAAUAUCCCAAUAGUAAAUAAGUAUGAGUUUCAUACCUUCAUCUUGAUUUCUCUAACUCCUCUCUCGCACGACGGAGACACUUAUCUAUAGUCAUCAACAAAAAGCAAAAAAACACAAACAAAACAAAUUGGAAAAAAUACCCUUAAGAAAUCAUAUUUAGAAUAAUAAGAAACAGUACCUUUCAAUUCUAAGGCAUAUGCAUACUUGGCUUCAGCAUUCUUCAAGCCUUGCAACUCUCUCUUAGUACUAUAAUCAAGAGUGGUUUCUUGGAGGGCUUCUGCUCCUAGGCCUUUGGAUAUCAUUCACACUUUCAGUCAUACCAGCAGGGAUAGACAGCUUAUUCCUCCCCUUAAACAAAGUCGUCAAUUGUUCCUUAAACAACCAGUGGUCAACUCGUUCUUCUUUUUUCUUUAAUCUCCACUUAUCAUAAUAAAUUAAUAAUAAUAAUAAUUCUAAUUCUAAUUUCUAAAUACAAUAAAUCAAAACUAUACAAUUCUCUUAUAAAUGAACAAAAACACAAGACAAAGAAACAAACCUAUAAAGCACCAAUUUUUAUCAUGCAUGUCAUUUUUUUUUGAGCAACAAUAUAUUUAUUAAUAAAACCGCAAAACAUAAGGCAUGUUUUGAGAUUAAUCAGUUACAGAUGGAAACACCCAACACAGCCUUACAAUCACACCAGCCAGUUCGAUUAAUCUCGAAGAACACCAGCCAGUUUGAUUAAUCUCGAACAAUCAGACUUUCAAUUGCUAAAAAAAAAAAAUACCUCUUUUCUCUCUGUAGAACAGGAAGCUGCGGAUGAGGUUCCCAAUGAAGCUGCGGAUGAGGUCCUCCUCUUCAUAAUAAUGAUAUAGCAGGAAGAAAGGUAAGAAAUGUUAGACAAGAUUUGAUAUGAGAAUUAAAGAAUAUCGGUUCCCAAUGAACCUUUUUGCUGUUCCGCCUCUUGAGUGUGCCGCCAUUUGAACCGUAAAUCCCAUACCAUUUAUUACAAAGAAGAAAUUGAAAAAUGGAAAGAGAAGCCAAAGAAGAAAUUGAAGGAAUUGGAUCCUCUCC
rnacentral:lncRNA from 1 species